AUAAUGAAAUGAAACUUAUGGUAAAGGUUGUGGGUUGUGAAAUAAACUUCCCCUUCUAUAUAACUGAGCAUAACCAUAAAAACCAGGCUUUGUUUCAGAACGUUGCUCUUUAACUUCAUCUGCUUCUUCUUCAGAUGCUUUUCUCCAAAGCCAUGUCACUGAAUUGUUAUCAGUGUUUGCUGUCACUAACUGGCGCGUGUACCAAUGAACAGAUAACCUGUUCAGAUCAGUGUGCCUCUUCAACUAUGUCUGUUUACACGGUUCCCCUGACAAAAAAGUCAUGUUGUCAAAUGUCCCUCCUUUUAUUAACGAAGAGGCGAUUCUGAAAGAGUUUUCUCGGUACGAGCAACCCGUCUCCCCCAUGAAGAAAAUCCCCCUCGGCUGUAAGCCCCCACUAGUUAAGCACUUGGUUUCUUUCAGGAGAUUGGCGUUUAUGGUUUUAAAUGAAGGAGUUUUUUCCCAGACCGAUAUAAAAUGUUUUAAAUGUGGUCAGAUUGGACAUCUUGUCCGCGCCUGUCCUGAAAGACAGCGUGAUCCCGGUGUCUCCAAAUGACCGGGGCAGAACGCAGCUGAGCCUGCUGGAGCCGUUCCCCCUGCGGACACAGCUUGGCCUGCUGCUGAAAGCCCUGCAACUGCUUCUGAACCAUGGCCUAGGAAGCAUGAGCCCAAGUUCAGACUGCAGACCAGAGCUCCACUAGUGACGUACCCACCGGGAAAAUCCCUGCUCGGCUGAAUCAGACCGGGAGAAGCCCUGCUCGGCUGAACCGGAACGGGAGAAGCCCUGCAGGGCUAAACCGUACCAGGAGAAGCCCUGCUCGACUGAACCGGGCCGGGAGAACGGCUGUGAAUCUGAAAAAGUCACAGUGGACUCUGAAGUAGUGCUGGAGCUGCCAGUGCUGGAGCUGCCUGUGCUGGCAGAGUCAGACACGGUGAAAUAGGAAGGCUGGCACGGACUGGUCCAGCUGUCCAGCAGAGCUGCAGCAUUCUGCCUACAGUUCAUCCAGAGACUCCUCACUGGACCCAGAGACCUACAGUAGUAUGGAGAGCAGCAGCCAGUGGAAUAUUACGCACAGUUGAAGGACAGGGGCUAGACAGAGCCCUGUUUUUAAUGGACACAAAAAUGCUGGACAUCUCUGGAUUACCAGUGUUUUACUGUGGACUUUUUAAAAUCUGGAACAUUAAAAAAAAAACAGUUCAAAGGCCAUCAAACAUUACACUGGUUUCUGGAGGAGCCUCUGGUGUACAGCAGGCGACUGGACAUCUCCAGUGUGACCAUUCCUGCACUGUCCAGAACUCUAACCUCCUCGGGCAUUGUGACGCUCCGGGAGCUCGUGAACAUCACAGGGUCUGACUUGUCGAGGGCAGAGGACCUGACAUUGCAUAUGAGAUUGAGGUCCCUGCGCAUUGUCAAUCAGCUCCUACACCACUGGAGAUCUGCACUAACAUCAGAGGAGCAUGUUCAGCUGCUGGAUUAUCAUCACACAGAGGCUGGUCCUGCAGAGGAUGAACCCUUUCCCCAGAUGAACAUGGCUCCUUACCUCGACGGGUGUGAGGGCCCCCUCCUGGAGUGCCAGGUGAAUGAGAGAUGGACUUUGGGUCAGUGACGGGGAAGCUGCAGAGUACAGCGUCUGAGUUAAAGUUUUAAAUAAGAAAAAGCCGAGUGGGAGGGUAGACACCCCAUGGAGAAGUGUUUUGGGUUUCAAUGCUGAUAUUAAACCAGAGUGGAGAGCACUGUACAAACCACCAUUGCCAAAAAGAGCUGCCGACCUUCAGUGGAGGAUUUUACAUGGUAUUAUCUCUGUGAACUCUUAUUUCUGUUUUAAACCCUGAUAUUGCACAUGACUGUCCUUUUUGUUCACAGAGAGAAACAGUUUUUCAUGCUUUUAUUCACUGCUCCAGGUUGCAGUCACUGCUUGUGUUUUUACAGAGCAUUUUAAGGUUGUUUUAUGUUGAAUUUACUGUUCCUUGUUUUUUUGGUUUUAAAUAC